rnacentral:rRNA from 1 species
UACAGAGGUGGCAAGCGUUGUUCGGAAUUACUGGGCGUAAAGGGCGCGUAGGCGGUUCGUUAAGUCCUGUGUGAAAUCCCCCGGCUCAACUGGGGAACUGCACAGGAAACUAGCGGGCUUGAGUUCGGGAGAGGGAAGCGGAAUUCCGGGUGUAGCGGUGAAAUGCGUAGAUAUCCGGAGGAACACCGGUGGCGAAGGCGGUAUCCUGGACCAACACUGACACUGAUGAGCGAAAUCCACAGGAGCAAACGGG